UACUCCUACGGGAGGCAGCAGUGGGUAAUCUUGCGCAAUGGGCGCAAGCGGGAUGCAGCCCAACCGCGGAAUCAAGAAGCCGUUAGGGUGGUAAAGUGAGAAGGCGGGGAGGAAGUAAAGCUGUUUAAUCCGUGAUGAUAUUGACUGACCG
rnacentral:rRNA from 1 species